UCACGUUACACCUUCUGCACCCGGAGCGAGAUAGGUGGACUGCCGCGCUUUGAACAGAAGGAGAGAAACGAUACGACUCGUAAGAACACGUAGAGAGAGAGAGAGAGAGAAGUUCGGCUAAAAAAGAAGCAGACCUACUUCUUGUGUGAUGGAAAGCGAGAUGAUGUCAUGGAUGAUGGGUGAAACGGAAAUUUUACAUCACGCUAAUCGUAAACUGCGUUACGUGGAAAAAUGGGUCUUAUGUUAAUGACGAGGAAAGUGGGAAGCGCGGUGGGAGAUCCUCCAACGGUGCACUUUUGACGUUACGCGGCUAACGUCGGUACGGUCAGUAGAGCACGUGCGAAGUAGGUGUUACGUGGAAUUUUUCUCGUAAGACAAAUUUUGUCUCACAUGAUUAUUUGAGCACUUGUAACGGUAUAUUCUGAUAUUAUAUCAGGCUUAAAUUAUCUUUACAUUACAUUCAAUAAUUAUUACUUUUUGCAAUGUGAAAAAAUUGUAUUUUUACUUCGUUUUCAGAAUACAUUUUUCGAAAAAAUGUAGAGUACUUGCAUUAACAUAAUUUUAUUAAAUGUAUCAAAAUAUUUACUAUUUUAUCCCAAUAAGUUCGUUGAAGAUAUCAGUCUAAGCAUACAUAUUAAUAAUCUGUAUUGGAAUGUAACCAUUAAUUCUCAUGUUGCAGUAUUUGUUCUUUUGAAAUAUGCAUAUGCAAAUACUCUAUUAUUAGCUUUACCUUCUAAGCAUGAUUAAAGUGUUGCAUUUCUGAGCGACAUCGUAAUACCUAGGUGCAAACGCAUCGAUGCGGUUAAAUAUAUACUAACCAUUCUCGUCUAGGCCUAGUCAUUAUUCCUUUUAAGGUACACGAUCAUAAUUGUGAUGUGUAAUCGAUCGUUUGAAAGUAACAAGUUAACGGAUAUUGUAAGGUUUCUCGUCGAUUUCACUAACUUUCAUUAAAUUAAUUAUUAUCAGAUUAAUUAUGAUUUUUACAUUUUCCAUUUCACUUAAUAUUUACUAAGAGGUGCGAAUUACUUAGAAUAUUUUGUAGCUAGAAAAAACUUAAUACUAUAUUAAUUUCUAUUUAAAUAUAACUAUAUUUCUUUCUAUUUUAAAAUACGAAAUACCUUGUUAAUUUCCAAAAAUGAGCGUACGCUUCUCAAAGCUUGCUGGAACGCUUUUUCAAAUCCGGCGCUAUCUGCAUCCUGUUAAUAAAACAAUAUUCAACUGCUGAUAAAUUCUAUAUUUAUUACAGAUUUUACAAAAAAAAA